rnacentral:antisense_RNA from 1 species
CUUGAGCGAGCCGAGCAGCAACGGCCGGUCCGCCGGGCGGCCUUGGCCGUAGGUGGCGAGCAGUGCCUGCGCCUC